rnacentral:tRNA from 1 species
CCUUGGGUGGUACAAACAGUUAAGACGUUUGGCUGCUAGCCAAAAGGUUGAUGGUUCAAGUCCAUUCAGGGG